UUACGGCCAUAUCACGUUGAAAUACCGGUCAUCGUUCGAUCACCGAAGUUAAGCCACGUCGAUCGUAGUCAGUCCUUAGGUAGGUGAUUUCGCUUGGGAAUACCUGGUUCUGUAA